UUAGGGUGGCGGCGAUAUCCUCCAACUUCCGAUCGGUGCCCCGUUGCGUGACCUGCAUCUGUUCCAACUGCUCGCAUGUCUUGUUCAGUCUGGACUUAAUUUCCUCCUGAUCGCCCUCCAGCUUUUCCACCCGCUCCGUUAUUGCUCGUGUUGUCAUCUCCGUGGGACGGGGAUCCGGCAGGUCGGACCAAUUGAUAAGUAGCGAAAUUAAGAACUAAAAGAAAACUCGCACACAGUGCGCCAAGCCUCCGGCUCCAAAUUCAAUAAUAUUCUCCUCCCCGAAAACAACCCUAAUGCACUCUAUUUAUACUAAU
rnacentral:lncRNA from 1 species